AGUUUGAUCCUGGCUCAGAAUCAACGCUGGCGGCGUGCCUAACACAUGCAAGUCGCACGAGAAAGGGUAGCAAUACCUGAGUACAGUGGCGCACGGGUGAGUAACACGUGAAUGAUCUACCUCCGAGUGGGGAAUAACUGAGAGAAAUCUUAGCUAAUACCGCAUAAUACCCACGGGUCAAAGCAGCAAUGCGCUUGGAGAGGAGUUCGCGGCCGAUUAGUUAGUUGGCGGGGUAAUGGCCCACCAAGACGAUGAUCGGUAUCCGGCCUGAGAGGGCGCACGGUCGC
rnacentral:rRNA from 1 species